CAUCUGCAUAUUCAGAACAAAAUCAUAAAUUUCUCAAUUUCUCUUCAAAGCCCUGAACCCCCUUUCGAAAUCUCUAAUUUCCUCACGAAUUUACCUCAUAAAUCUCCUCAGCAAAUCUUAAAAGCAAAAUUAGAAAUUGUGCGCUUCAAAUUUCAAAGGUUCUUCAUUAGGAUUAGCUAACUGAGCACCUAAGGUAGCGGAUUGAAAGUAGGCUUCUUUCUCUCUUUAUCUAUCCUAACUUUACAAUCUUGAAUCACAAUGUAUGGAGUUUUGUUUCUAC
rnacentral:lncRNA from 1 species